rnacentral:rRNA from 1 species
CCUACGGGUGGCAGCAGUGGGGAAUAUUGGGCAAUGGGCGCAAGCCUGACCCAGCAACGCCGCGUGAAGGAAGAAGGUUUUCGGGUUGUAAACUUCUUUUGUUAGGGAAGAUUAUAAGACGGUACCUGACGAAUAAGCCACGGCUAACUACGUGCCAGCAGCCGCGGUAAUACGUAGGGGGCAAGUGUUGUCCGGAUUCACUGGGUGUAAAGGGCGUGUAGCCGGGUUGACAAGUCAGAUGUGAAAUCCUGCGGCUUAACCGCAGAACUGCAUUUGAAACUGUUGAUCUUGAGUACUGGAGAGGCAGACGGAAUUCCUGGUGUAGCGGUGAAAUGCGUAGAUAUUAGGAGGAACACCAGUGGCGAAGGCGGUCUGCUAGACAGCAACUGACGGUGAGGCGCGAAAGCGUGGGGAGCAAACAGGAUUAGAUACCCGGGUAGUC